AAAAAGACAAAUUCUAGAUUUGUGUCCAACGUUUGACUGUCCGUCUUAUAUAAUUUUUUUAUAAUUAGUAUUUUUAUUGUUGUUAGAUGAUAAAACAUGAUUAAUACUUUAUGUGUGACUUGUCUUUUUAUUUUUUUCAAAUAAGACGGACGGUCAAACGUUGGACACGGAAAACCAGGGUUUGUCUUUUU
rnacentral:pre_miRNA from 1 species